UUAAGCGACUAAGCGUACACGGUGGAUGCCCUGGCAGUCAGAGGCGAUGAAGGACGUGCUAAUCUGCGAAAAGCGUCGGUAAGGUGAUAUGAACCGUUAUAGCCGGCGAUGUCCGAAUGGGGAAACCCAGUGUGAUUCGUCACACUAUCGUUAACUGAAUACAUAGGUUAACGAGGCGAACCGGGGGAACUGAAACAUCUAAGUACCCCGAGGAAAAGAAAUCAACCGAGAUUCCCCCAGUAGCGGCGAGCGAACGGGGAGCAGCCCAGAGUCUGAAUCAGCUUGUGUGUUAGUGGAACGGUCUGGAAAGUCCGACGGUACAGGGUGAUAGUCCCGUACACCAAAAUGCACAGGCUGUGAACUCGAAGAGUAGGGCGGGACACGUGGUAUCCUGUCUGAAUAUGGGGGGACCAUCCUCCAAGGCUAAAUACUCCUGACUGACCGAUAGUGAACCAGUACCGUGAGGGAAAGGCGAAAAGAACCCCGGCGAGGGGAGUGAAAAAGAACCUGAAACCGUGUACGUACAAGCAGUGGGAGCACCUUCGGGUGUGACUGCGUACCUUUUGUAUAAUGGGUCAGCGACUUAUAUUCUGUAGCAAGGUUAACCGUAUAGGGGAGCCGCAGGGAAACCGAGUCUUAACUGGGCGUUAAGUUGCAGGGUAUAGACCCGAAACCCGGUGAUCUAGCCAUGGGCAGGUUGAAGGUUGGGUAACACUAACUGGAGGACCGAACCGACUAAUGUUGAAAAAUUAGCGGAUGACUUGUGGCUGGGGGUGAAAGGCCAAUCAAACCGGGAGAUAGCUGGUUCUCCCCGAAAGCUAUUUAGGUAGCGCCUCGUGAACUCAUCUUCGGGGGUAGAGCACUGUUUCGGCUAGGGGGUCAUCCCGACUUACCAACCCGAUGCAAACUACGAAUACCGAAGAAUGUUAUCACGGGAGACACACGGCGGGUGCUAACGUCCGUCGUGAAGAGGGAAACAACCCAGACCGCCAGCUAAGGUCCCAAAGUCAUGGUUAAGUGGGAAACGAUGUGGGAAGGCACAGACAGCCAGGAUGUUGGCUUAGAAGCAGCCAUCAUUUAAAGAAAGCGUAAUAGCUCACUGGUCGAGUCGGCCUGCGCGGAAGAUGUAACGGGGCUAAACCAUGCACCGAAGCUGCGGCAGCGACACGAUGUGUUGUUGGGUAGGGGAGCGUUCUGUAAGCCUGCGAAGGUGGCCUGUGAGGGUUGCUGGAGGUAUCAGAAGUGCGAAUGCUGACAUAAGUAACGAUAAAGCGGGUGAAAAGCCCGCUCGCCGGAAGACCAAGGGUUCCUGUCCAACGUUAAUCGGGGCAGGGUGAGUCGACCCCUAAGGCGAGGCCGAAAGGCGUAGUCGAUGGGAAACAGGUUAAUAUUCCUGUACUUGGUGUUACUGCGAAGGGGGGACGGAGAAGGCUAUGUUAGCCGGGCGACGGUUGUCCCGGUUUAAGCAUGUAGGCUGGUUAUCCAGGCAAAUCCGGAUAAUCAAGGCUGAGGUGUGAUGACGAGGCACUACGGUGCUGAAGUAACAAAUGCCCUGCUUCCAGGAAAAGCCUCUAAGCAUCAGGUAACAUCAAAUCGUACCCCAAACCGACACAGGUGGUCAGGUAGAGAAUACCAAGGCGCUUGAGAGAACUCGGGUGAAGGAACUAGGCAAAAUGGUGCCGUAACUUCGGGAGAAGGCACGCUGGUGUGUAGGUGAAGUCCCUGCGGAUGGAGCUGAGACCAGUCGAAGAUACCAGCUGGCUGCAACUGUUUAUUAAAAACACAGCACUGUGCAAACACGAAAGUGGACGUAUACGGUGUGACGCCUGCCCGGUGCCGGAAGGUUAAUUGAUGGGGUUAUCCGUAAGGAGAAGCUCUUGAUCGAAGCCCGGUAAACGGCGGCCGUAACUAUAACGGUCCUAAGGUAGCGAAAUUCCUUGUCGGGUAAGUUCCGACCUGCACGAAUGGCGUAAUGAUGGCCAGGCUGUCUCCACCCGAGACUCAGUGAAAUUGAACUCGCUGUGAAGAUGCAGUGUACCCGCGGCAAGACGGAAAGACCCCGUGAACCUUUACUAUAGCUUGACACUGAACAUUGAGCCUUGAUGUGUAGGAUAGGUGGGAGGCUUUGAAGCGUGGACGCCAGUCUGCGUGGAGCCAACCUUGAAAUACCACCCUUUAAUGUUUGAUGUUCUAACGUUGGCCCCUUAUCGGGGUUGCGGACAGUGUCUGGUGGGUAGUUUGACUGGGGCGGUCUCCUCCCAAAGCGUAACGGAGGAGCACGAAGGUUAGCUAAUCCUGGUCGGACAUCAGGAGGUUAGUGCAAUGGCAUAAGCUAGCUUGACUGCGAGCGUGACGGCGCGAGCAGGUGCGAAAGCAGGUCAUAGUGAUCCGGUGGUUCUGAAUGGAAGGGCCAUCGCUCAACGGAUAAAAGGUACUCCGGGGAUAACAGGCUGAUACCGCCCAAGAGUUCAUAUCGACGGCGGUGUUUGGCACCUCGAUGUCGGCUCAUCACAUCCUGGGGCUGAAGUAGGUCCCAAGGGUAUGGCUGUUCGCCAUUUAAAGUGGUACGCGAGCUGGGUUUAGAACGUCGUGAGACAGUUCGGUCCCUAUCUGCCGUGGGCGCUGGAGAAUUGAGGGGGGCUGCUCCUAGUACGAGAGGACCGGAGUGGACGCAUCACUGGUGUUCGGGUUGUCAUGCCAAUGGCACUGCCCGGUAGCUAAAUGCGGAAGAGAUAAGUGCUGAAAGCAUCUAAGCACGAAACUUGCCCCGAGAUGAGUUCUCCCUGAGACUUUAAGUCUCCUGAAGGAACGUUGAAGACGACGACGUUGAUAGGCCGGGUGUGUAAGCGCAGCGAUGCGUUGAGCUAACCGGUACUAAUGAACCGUGAGGCUUAACCU
rnacentral:rRNA from 1 species